ACUUAUUUUCCUUUCCCUUUUCUUCUAUAUUUUCCCUUUCAAACUAUUCUUCCCAGAAAAUGAGAAGAAUGAAAAUAAGAAGAAGAAAAAUGAAAACAAAUUUGAAAAAAAUGAAGGAGAGGAGUUGAAAAAAGUGAAUCGAUUAUUUCUUAGGAGGAAAGAAUGAAAGAGCGGGAAGGAAGAAAGUAAUUCUGCUGAAGAUGAUUUUUGGAACCCGAGAAAUAUAAUUUAUUCUUUUCUGUUUGGUUUUUGGAUUUGGUUUUUGUUUUGAUGUGUAAUAAUUAAGGAUUAUGGAUUGUAAUGUGAAGUGGUAAUUAUUGUUGGUGAUGAUUCAGAGAUAGAGAGAAAAAGAAUGAUGAACGGUGGAGAAGGAGGAUUGGUUGGUCA
rnacentral:lncRNA from 1 species